AUGUGUGAGGCAAAAGAAAAAGUGAUGGUUCGCUGGAGUAGGAUGCGAGGCCCAAGUGGCCAAGGAAUGCAACGGCCCGUUAUCCUUUCACCGUUGGAAGUGGGCAGUUGUCGCUGCUCUGUGAAGCCAGCCUCACGCUGUGCCUGCCACAUUAAGGGCGGGCCAACGGUAGCACUCCCAGACCAGGCCCGCAGCGCUACAACAGCGUCCACAUCGCCUUAA
rnacentral:rRNA from 1 species